CCUACGGGAGGCAGCAGUGGGGAAUAUUGCACAAUGGGGGAAACCCUGAUGCAGCGACGCCGCGUGAGCGAUGAAGUAUUUCGGUAUGUAAAGCUCUAUCAGCAGGGAAGAAGAUGACGGUACCUGACUAAGAAGACCCGGGUAACUACGUGCCAGCAGCCGCGGUAAUACGUAGGGGGCAAGCUUUAUCCGGAUUUACUGGGUGUAAAGGGGGCGUAGACGGCGAUGCAAGCCAGAUGGUAAGGCCCGGGGCUCAACCCCGGGAUUGCAGUUGGAACUGUGUGGCUGGAGUGUCGGAGAGGCAGGCGGAAUUCCUAGUGUAGCGGUGAAAUGCGUAGAUAUUAGGAGGAACACCAGUGGCGAAGGCAGCUUACUAAACUGCCACUGACAUUGAUGCUCGAAAGUGUGGGUAUCAAACAGGAUUAGAUACCCCUGUAGUC
rnacentral:rRNA from 1 species